rnacentral:tRNA from 1 species
CAGGGAGACAACAAAAUGUUUAAUAUUAUUAUUUUGUCACCUUAGGUCGAUCGGUAUCUCACGUUUUUAAUUUAUUAAAAAUUUCAUUUCCUAAGUUUUUCUAGGUCACACCCAUUAUUUUUCCUGGGCCAUUAGCUCAGGUGGUUAGAGCGCACCCCUGAUAAGGGUGAGGUCCCUGGUUCAAGUCCAGGAUGGCCCAUAUCUCUAUGUUGGGGGUAUAGCUCAGUUGGUAGAGCGCCUGCUUUGCAAGCAGGAUGUCAGCGGUUCGAGUCCGCUUACCUCCACUGAUUACCACCUCUUCCAUAACCGGUAGAAAGGAAAUCUUUUGAGUUGUGAUCAAAUUCUGAAAGAAUCUAGCUUCCUAAUGAAAUCAUUAAGAUGCUGGACUCAUUGAAUUAAUUUCAUUGUUUUCAGAGAACCUUGACAACUGCAUAGAUUAUUUUUAAAGACAAUAAGCAUCUUUAAUGAUGCAGAUUUAUUAUUUGUGCGAAUGCAUUAAUAACAAUUCUAUUAAGCUGAUGCUUCAAUUUUUGAAGUUAUU